rnacentral:tRNA from 1 species
UGGCCUAUGGUGUAAUUGGCAGCACGACUGAUUCUGGUUCAGUUAGUCUUGGUUCGAGUCCAGGUAGGCCAGCGA